AGCAGCCGCGGUAAUUCCAGCUCCAAUAGCGUAUAUUAAAGUUGCUGCAGUUAAAAAGCUCGUAGUUGAAUUUCGGGAUCAAUAUGUUGGUCGUGCCUUGGUACGUACUAGCUCAUUGGUUUCUCCCUUCUGACGAACCAUGAUGUCAUUAAUUUGAUGUCAUGGGGAAUCAGGACUGUUACUUUGAAAAAUUAGAGUGUUUAAAGCAGGCUCGCGCUUGAAUACAUUAGCAUGGAAUAAUGAAAUAGGACUAUUUGAUUCUAUUUUGUUGUUUCUAGAUCGAUGUAAUGAUUAAUAGGGAUAGUU
rnacentral:rRNA from 1 species